CAACCAAAAAGAGUCUAGGACCAGAUGGAUUCACAGCUGGAAAAUGGCCAUACUGCCCAAGGUCAUUUAUAGAUUCAAUGCCAUAUCCAUCAAGCUACCAAUGACUUUCUUCACAGAAUUGGAAAAAACUACUUUAAAGUUCAUAUGGUACCAAAAAAGAGCCCGCAUUGCCAAGUCAAUCCUAAGCCAAAAGAACAAAGCUGGAAGCAUCAUGCUACCUGACUUCAAACUAUACUACAAGGCUACAGUAACCAAAACAGCAUGGUACUGGUACCAAAACAGAGAUAUAGAUCAAUGGAACAGAACAGAGCCCUCAGAAAUAACGCCGCUUAUCUACAACUAUCUGAUCUUUGACAAACCUGAGAAAAAGAAGCAAUGGGGAAAGGAUUCCCUGUUUAACAGAUG
rnacentral:lncRNA from 1 species